GACGAACGCUGGCGGCGCGCUUAACACAUGCAAGUCGAACGGAAAGGCCCUGCUUUUGUGGGGUGCUCGAGUGGCGAACGGGUGAGUAACACGUGAGUAACCUGCCCUUUACUUUGGGAUAACUUCAGGAAACUGGGGCUAAUACCUGAUAUUAGCUCCUGCUGCAUGGUGGGGGUUGGAAAGUUUCUGCGGUUGGGGAUGGACUCGCGGCUUAUCAGCUUUUUGGUGGGGUAGUGGCUUACCAAGGCUUUGACGGGUAGCCGGCCUGAGAGGGUGACCGGCCACAUUGGGACAGAGAUACGGCCCAGACUCCUACGGGAGGCAGCAGUGGGGAAUAUUGCACAAUGGGCGGAAGCCUGAUGCAGCAACGCCGCGUGCGGGAUGACGGCCUUAGGGUUGUAAACCGCUUUCGCCUGUGACGAAGCGUGAGUGACGGUAAUGGGUAAAGAAGCACCGGCUAACUACGUG
rnacentral:rRNA from 1 species